CAUUACGGCCAUAUCACUCUGAGAGCACCGGUUCUCGUCCGAUCACCGAAGUUAAGCAACGUUGUGCCUAGUGAGUACUUAGAUGGGUGACCGCUUGGGAAACCUAGGUGCUGUAAGCA
rnacentral:rRNA from 1 species